UCCCAGAGGGCCAGGCCCCAGCGGGUGCCUCGGCUCCCUAGUUGUCUAGGCAGUAGGCACCUGCCAGGGUGGUGGGGAGGACGCCAGCUGUGAGGCAGCCAGGGACGCAGGAAGGAGAGAUGUGCGUCUCGGGAGGCCCUUCUGCCUGGGGAGGUGAUAGAGACAAACAACGGUUGACUGCUGCAGAAAUAGGGUGCUAUUGUUUCAGGCAAAUCUGCAGUCCCAUGCUGACAAGAAUAUCCUGAGUCAGGAGCUGCCUUUUACAAGGCCUCCCUGUGACCCCUGGAAACCUGCAUCUUGGAGCUGUAUAUGAUGUCACUUCCAGACCUCAGAGCCCUGCACAGGACUCAGAUUGCUGCUGCUUGACUGAGCUGUGAGAGUCACAAUACUGAUGGAGGAUCGUUCAGCAGUUUUGGCCACUGUGUACAGCACCCUGCUCCACAUUGGGAGCAAUGCUGGGGAGUCCAGGAUGGCCCCUGCCCUCACACAGGGCUUGAAAUGUAGUCACUGGGUCCCGGCAUGGGGGCAACACAGCCAUUUUCCUAGCACUUUAGGGGGCUGAGGCAGGAGGCUUAUUCAAGCCCAGCCUGAGCAAUUUAGUGACUUAGCAAGACGGUCCAGAAAAAUAAAUGCUAGGGAUGCAGCUCAGUGUGAAGGCCCUGGGUUCAAUGCCCAGUACAGAAAAAUAUAAGCAAGCCAGCAAACAGAAGCACUUUGGGUUAAAUACACAAUAUUUUCUUAUGAAUCUUCUAUGAGAUGAUUUUUUUAUAUAGCAAAACAUUUACUGGUACAUUUCAGGCAUAUUAAUAAGAUGAUUAAUAAAGUUCUUUCAUCUUU